AUCCCGUCCGCUGGAUGACCAAGGGUUCCGGGGCCACGUUCGUCGUCCCCGGGUGAGUCGGGUCCUAAGGCGAGGCCGACAGGCGUAGUCGAAUGGAUGAACGGGUGGAUAUUCCCGUACCGGCGGCGUACCGUAAGAGCCGAACGGAUGAGUACUAACCUCCGGUCGCGUGGCGUCGUUCCCUUCGGGGUUCGGGGCGCGUGGCUGUUGGGAGCGUAGUCCUGGUAGGCUAGCGCACAGGGGUGACACGGAAUGGGAGCCGGCCGCGGAGGUGGUUUUCCGUGGUCAAGCACGCAGCCCGUCCCAUAGGCAAAUCCGUGGGACGCAUAGGGUGAGGUGUGAUGAUGGGCGUCUUUUUGGCGCGAUAUCCGGUGGUCCAGGCCGUCGAGAAAAGCCUCGGCGCGAGGGGCGUCGCCGCCCGUACCCCAAACCGACACAGGUGGUCAGGUAGAGAAUACCAAGGCGAUCGAGCGAAUCCUGGUCAAGGAACUCGGCAAAUCACUCCCGUGCCUUCGGUAUAAGGGAGACCCCCGGGCGUGAAGAGGCUUGCCCUCGGAGCGUUGGGGGGUGGCACAGACCAGGGGGUAGCGACUGUUUACCAAAAACACAGGUGCAUGCGAAGGCGCAAGCAGCUGUAUAUGCACUGACGCCUGCCCGGUGCCGGAAGGUUAAGAGGAUCCGUCAGCCCCUUUUGGGGUGAAGCGGUGAAUUCAAGCCCCGGUAAACGGCGGUGGUAACUAUAACCAUCCUAAGGUAGCGAAAUUCCUUGUCGGGUAAGUUCCGACCUGCACGAAUGGCGUAACGACUUCCCCACUGUCUCGACCAGGAGCUCGGCGAAAUUGCAGUACGAGUAAAGAUGCUCGUUAAGCGCAGAAGGACGAAAAGACCCCGGGACCUUUACUAUACCUUGGUAUUGGCGUCAGGCGCGGAUUGUGUAGCAUAGGCGGGAGGCUUCGAAGCAUGGGCGCCAGCCCGUGUGGAGCCGCAAGGUGAAAUACCGCUCUGUUCUCGUUUGACGUCUAACCUCGAACAGUCAUCCUGUUCAGGGACAGUGCCUGGCGGGUAGUUUAACUGGGGCGGUUGCCUCCCAAAGAGUAACGGAGGCGCUCAAAGGUCCGCUCAGCCCGGUUGGCAAUCGGGUUUCGAGUGUAAUCGCACAAGCGGGCUUGACUGCGAGAACGACGGUUCGGGCAGGGACGAAAGUCGGAGAUAGUGAUCCGGUGCCGGCGCACGGGCGCGGCAUCGCUCAACGGAUAAAAGGUACCCCGGGGAUAACAGGCUGAUC
rnacentral:rRNA from 1 species